rnacentral:rRNA from 1 species
UACGUAGGGUGCAAGCGUUGUCCGGAAUUAUUGGGCGUAAAGAGCUCGUAGGUGGCCUGUCGCGUCGGCUGUGAAAACUCGGGGCUCAACUCCGAGCUUGCAGUCGAUACGGGCAGGCUAGAGUUCGGCAGGGGAGACUGGAAUUCCUGGUGUAGCGGUGAAAUGCGCAGAUAUCAGGAAGAACACCCGUGGCGAAGGCGGCACUCUGGGACGGUACUGACGCUGAGACGCGAAAGCGUGGGGAGCGAACAGG